rnacentral:sRNA from 1 species
AAUGUAGUAGUUUGAAUCCUUCAAUAGC